rnacentral:rRNA from 1 species
GUCCAGACUCCUACGGGAGGCAGCAGUGGGGAAUAUUGCACAAUGGGGGAAACCCUGAUGCAGCAACGCCGCGUGGGUGAAGGAGCGUUUCGGCGCGUAAAGCCCUGUCAGCGGGGAAGAAGAAAGACGGUACCUGACUAAGAAGCCCCGGCUAACUACGUGCCAGCAGCCGCGGUAAUACGUAGGGGGCAAGCGUUAUCCGGAUUCACUGGGUGUAAAGGGAGCGUAGACGGCGACGCAAGUCUGGAGUGAAAGCCCGGGGGCCAACCCCGGGACUGCUCUGGAAACUGCGGCGCUGGAGUACGGGAGGGGGAGGCGGAAUUCCUGGUGUAGCGGUGAAA